AAAAAUCCGGGUGGCAAUGGGAAGCCGUGAUGCGGAGUGAAAUAAAGUAACGAAGUCCGUGAGCCAUGCGUCAAGAAAAGCCGCUAUUGUUUAUACCGUACCCGUACCGUAAACCGACACAGGUGGAUGAGGAGAGAAUCCUAAGGCCGGCGGAAGAAGCAUUGUCAAGGAACUCGGCAAAAUGGCCCCGUAACUUAGGGAUAAGGGGUGCCUGGGAAACCAGGCCGCAGAGAAUAGGCUCAAGCAACUGUUUAGCAAAAACACAGGUCUAUGCGAAACCGAAAGGUGAGGUAUAUGGGCUGACGCCUGCCCGGUGCUGGAAGGUUAAGAGGAGAGGUUAGCGCAAGCGAAGCUUUGAAUUUAAGCCCCAGUAAACGGCGGCCGUAACUAUAACGGUCCUAAGGUAGCGAAAUUCCUUGUCGGGUAAGUUCCGACCCGCACGAAAGGCGUAAUGAUUUGAGCGCUGUCUCGACAAUGCAUCCGGUGAAAUUGAAGUACCAGUGAAGAUGCUGGUUACCUGCGCCAGGACGGAAAGACCCCAUGGAGCUUUACUCCAGUUUGGUACUGGGACUCGGUAUUGCAUGUACAGGAUAGGUGGGAGGCUGAGAGACAGUAACGCCAGUUAUUGUGGAGCUGUGUUGGGAUACCACCCUUGCAGUAUUGGGUUUCUAACCAGCCGCCGUGACCCGGCGGUGGGACAAUGCCAGACGGGGAGUUUGACUGGGGCGGUCGCCUCCGAAAGGGUAUCGGAGGCGCCCAAAGGUUCCCUCAGAAUGGACGGAAACCAUUCGAAGAGUGCAAAGGCAGAAGGGAGCUUGACUGCGACACCGACGGGUGGAGCAGGUACGAAAGUAGGGCUUAGUGAUCCGGUGGUAUUAAGUGGGAAUGCCAUCGCUCAACGGAUAAAAGCUACCCUGGGAUAACAGGCUUAUCACUCCCAAGAGUUCACAUCGACGGAGUGGUUUGGCACCUCGAUGUCGGCUCAUCGCAUCCUGGGGCUGUAGUAGGUCCCAAGGGUUGGGCUGUUCGCCCAUUAAAGCGGUACGCGAGCUGGGUUCAGAACGUCGUGAGACAGUUCGGUCCCUAUCCGGCGUGGGCGUAGGAUAUCUGAGAGGAGCUGUCCUUAGUACGAGAGGACCGGGAUGGACGGGCCGCUGGUGCAUCGGUUAGACUGCCAAGUCUACGGCCGAGUAGCCAAGCCCGGAAGGGAUAAACGCUGAAGGCAUCUAAGCGUGAAGCCCCCCUUAAGAUGAGAUAUCCCAUUCGAAAGAAGUAAACCCCCUUGAAGACGACGAGGUAGAUAGGGCAGAGGUGGAAGUGUGGCAACACAUGGAGCUGACUGUUACUAAUCGGGUGAGGGCUUGACC
rnacentral:rRNA from 1 species